rnacentral:tRNA from 1 species
UUUUAUGUAGUUUAAAAAAAACAUUAUAUUUUCAUUAUAAAAUUAAAAUUAUUAAUUUCAUAAAAU